rnacentral:rRNA from 1 species
UACAGAGGGUGCAAGCGUUAAUCGGAGUUACUGGGCGUAAAGGGCGCGUAGGCGGUCGAAUAAGUGAGAUGUAAAAUCCCUGGGCUUAACCUAGGCAGGUCAUCUUAAACUGUUCGACUGGAGUACUGUAGAGGGUAGUGGAAUUUCCGGUGUAGCGGUGAAAUGCGUAGAGAUCGGAAGGAACACCAGUGGCGAAGGCGACUACCUGGACAGAUACUGACGCUGAGGCGCGAGAGCGUGGGGAGCAAACAGG